rnacentral:rRNA from 1 species
UACGAAGGGGGCAAGCGUUGUUCGGAAUUACUGGGCGUAAAGAGCGCGUAGGCGGACCAGAUAGUCAGGGGUGAAAUCCCGGGGCUCAACCCCGGAACUGCCUUUGAUACUGCUGGUCUAGAGUCCGUGAGGGGAUGGUGGAAUACCCAGUGUAGAGGUGAAAUUCGUAGAUAUUGGGUGGAACACCGGUGGCGAAGGCGACCAUCUGGCACGGUACUGACGCUGAGGCGCGAAAGCGUGGGGAGCAAACAGG